CGGUAGGGGGCAAGCGUUGUCCGGAUUUAGUUGGGCGUAAAGCGCUCGCAGGUGGUUCGUCGCGUCGUGCGUGAAACGACCCCGGCUCAACGUGGGGAGGGUCGUGCGAUACGGGCGGACUGGAGGCCAGGUAGGGGGAUGCGGAAUUCCGGGUGUAGUGGUGGAAUGCGUAGAGAUCCGGAGGAACACCAGCGGCGAAGGCGGCAUCCUGGACUGGUCCUGACACUCAGGAGACGAAAGCGGUGGGGAGCGAUCCGGAUUAGACGUACCCGGGUAGUCCACGCUAGUAAACGAUGCGCACUAGGUGUCGGGGGUAUCGACCCCCUCGGUGCCGCAGCUAACGCGAUAAAUGCGCCGCCUGGGGACUACGGCCGCAAGGCUA
rnacentral:rRNA from 1 species